CCUACGGGAGGCAGCAGUGGGGAAUAUUGGGCAAUGGAGGAAACUCUGACCUAGCAACGCCGCGUGAAUGAUGAAGGUCUUCGGAUUGUAAAGUUCUUUUCUAAGGGAAGAAGAAAGUGACGGUACCUUAGGAAUAAGCCUCGGCUAACUACGUGCCAGCAGCCGCGGUAAUACGUAGGAGGCGAGCGUUAUCCGGAAUGACUGGGCGUAAAGGGUGCGUAGGUGGUUUGGCAAGUUAGUAGCGUAACUCCAAGGCUCAACCUUGGAACUACUACUAAAACUGUUGGACUUGAGUGCAGGAGGGGCAACCGGAAUUCCUAGUGUAGCGGUGGAAUGCGUAGAUAUUAGGAGGAACACCAGUGGCGAAGGCGGGUUGCUGGACUGUAACUGACACUGAGGCACGAAAGCGUGGGGAGCAAACAGGAUUAGAUACCCCAGUAGUC
rnacentral:rRNA from 1 species